AUUCCUGUGGACUUUGAAAAUCUGACUGUGUCGCCAGAUUAUACAAAUGCUGAGUUCAUAUUAGGACUGAUGAGUUCAUAUUAGGAUUGAUUUAUAAAGUUCUAAUGGCCAAUAAAGAUAAACUACGCCAACGCAUCUUUUAUACUCGCAACUAUCUCGGGAUCUUUGAAAGAGUGCGAUAAUUCAUAAUCCGAUGUAUUCAAGCAUGUAUUGAAUCAAGUGGGCGAUAAU